rnacentral:rRNA from 1 species
CAGCAGCCGCGGGAAUACGUAGGUGGCAAGCGUUGUCCGGAAUUAUUGGGCGUAAAGGGCUCGCAGGCGGUUUCUUAAGUCUGAUGUGAAAGCCCCCGGCUCAACCGGGGAGGGUCAUUGGAAACUGGGAAACUUGAGCGCAGAAGAGGAGAGUGGAAUUCCACGUGUAGCGGUGAAAUGCGUAGAGAUGUGGAGGAACACCAGUGGCGAAGGCGACUCUCUGGUCUGUAACUGACGCUGAGGAGCGAAAGCGUGGGGAGCGAACAGGAUUAGAUACCCCUGUAGUCCCUGUCUCUUAUAU